UGCAGUCGUGCGCGAAGGGGCUUCGGCCCUGAGUAGAGCGGCAAACGGGUGAGUAACACGUGGGUGACCUGCCUUCGAGUGGGGGAUAACGUCCCGAAAGGGACGCUAAUACCGCAUAACAUCCUGCCUUUGAACAGGCGGAGAUCAAAGCUGGGGAUCGUAAGACCUGGCGCUUGAUGAGGGGCCCGCGUCUGAUUAGCUAGUUGGUGAGGUAACGGCCCACCAAGGCGACGAUCAGUAUCCGGCCUGAGAGGGCGGACGGACACACUGGGACUGAGACACGGCCCAGACUCCUACGGGAGGCAGCAGUGGGGAAUUGUUCACAAUGGGCGCAAGCCUGAUGACGCAACGCCGCGUGGAGGAUGAAGGUCUUCGGAUUGUAAACUCCUGUUGCUCGGGACGAAAAGCCUCGACCUAAUACGUCGAGGUCUGACGGUACCGAGUGAGGAAGCCCCGGCUAACUCUGUGCCAGCAGCCGCGGUAAUACAGAGGGGGCAAGCGUUGUUCGGAAUUACUGGGCGUAAAGGGCGCGUAGGCGGCCCGCUAAGUCGAACGUGAAAUCCCCGAGCUCAACUCGGGAACUGCGUCCGAUACUGGCG
rnacentral:rRNA from 1 species